rnacentral:lncRNA from 1 species
UCAAAAAGUGCAUCAUGCGUUGAUGUAGACAUAUUCACCAGAUUUAGCAUGGAAACGUUGACGGCUAUGUCAUAGUUAUAAAGAGCAGUGGUAGCAAAGGGGCUCCAAGGCAAUCUGAAAACUCAAAAUAUCAGCACAAGAUUGCAAUAUCUUUAGAGCGACAUGCCUAUGGCAGCCUCUCAUCUUGACAGAUAGCUUUUACUAAUCAGUGGUCAAGGCAUCAAGGCGACAAACAAGGGACCUUCAACUUUACUAUGAAUUGCCAAAUCCAACUAGUAUUGUGUCUGUGCAUGCCAUGCACGACCGAACAAUUUUUUCGAGGAAAUUUAAAAGAACAAUACUUGGCAUCUGAAUUGCAAAAUCUAACGAGUAGUGGAAGACUCUAGAGAAGAUUUUAUCAACCAACAACAGAUUUGAUGUGAUACAUGGUAUAUACAGAGUACAAACAUUUUUUCUAUGGCCGUUAUUUGGCAUGUUUUCAACAGAAAUGGCCUGUUAAGCCUAUUGACGUUUUUGUUUAUAGUGUCAUACUGGAUCACUUGCGGAGUAAUUUUCAAGGGAAGGAGGACGCAAGAGUGGCGUUGCAACGUUGCACAAAGCUACUCGAGCGAGUCACGGUUGAAGUGUUUCGGGUAAGAAGAGGCUGGAAAUCCUGGGUGCUAGACUGGUGAACUGAAGCUGGGAUGGAUGAAAGCUCGAAGAUAAAGUAUGUAGUUGUCCCUCUUUCCUUUGCCUCAUGUCUCACUCUAUUCACUAAUAAAAAGCAGACCUUACGUUUGGAUCAUUAGUUUUGGUUUAAUUUUGGUCCGGGAUUAAUGUGAUCAUUAGUCUCGGUUUCAACGGCUAGGAGCUGUCGGAGUUACGGGCAUCUUUAGUCCCGGUUCAUUUUGUACCUAUAGUUCCGGUUUGUGAUACGAACUGGGACUAAAGGCGUGGUGGUAGUCUGACGUUAGGCUGGGGACCCCACGAGUCCAUUUAGUCUCGGUUUGUAUCACAAACCUGGACUAUAGAUAGGCAUUUAGUCACGGUUUGUAUAACUAUUCGGGACUAAAGAUGUCCCUAUAUAAGCCCAUUCUUCCAAACCGAG